AUAUUUUACUAGGACAUCAGAUUUUCGAUCUGACGACACCGGUUCGAAUCCGGUUGGGGACGCCA
rnacentral:tRNA from 1 species